GUUACCCUGCUGUGUUCGUGAUGCGGCACUCGAUGUUUUGAGCCAACACUUUAAAUUAUGGGUUCUCAUCUUAUGUUGGUUACGCGAUAGGCGCAAGCCAAGGCGGAUCUAACAGGUCGGAGCCCGACCUGCGCAAGCAGGUUCAAAACUACGCAGCACACGGCAUGGUGGGGUAUUU
rnacentral:other from 1 species